rnacentral:antisense_RNA from 1 species
CUAAAGUAUAAAAAUAAAAUACUCAGAUAUAAAUAUUGAUUCCGGAAUCGCAACCUUCCUCAAAAAAUAAGUCAGUAGAGGGAGCGAAAUCAUCAUUGUAUUUUAUCGCUUAAGUUAAAAGCUAUGCAAAAAGAGCUAAAAUCCAAAUAUUGUCGGCUCAUUAUUACACAACCUGAAAACUCAAAUAUAACUCCAUAUUUCUCUCGAAAUAAUAUUUAUAAAGCUAAUACUUCAAGACUCAUGACUAUUGAAAUCUUGUAAUUCCACAAUAUAAGCGAUAUCCAUGCUCCGAACUUCAAUUAAAAUCAUAUAAACUAGGCUUAAGGUUAUCUCAGCGAUUGAAUAUGACAAUAUCACAAACUCCUCUGGAUUCCGGGUAGGUUCAAACCCAAAACAGCAGAAAGGAGAUUCAAUCAAUACAUGCAAGCAUCAUUGAAUAACCAAAGCCCAGAUAUUCUCCAAGAUUUGAUGAUUUCUCUAAAGCAAAUUUAUUCUUGUCUCCGAUAUUCUUAAAAGGGAUAGACAAAUACAUGGCGCCGAUAUUGUUGAGUUAUAUAGCAGGAUUUCAAAACCACGGAAAUAUGAUAAAGCGAAAUCGUGAAAAUAUAUUGCCUUUCAAUCUUGUUUAGUAUUUUGACUGGUUUCCCCUUUUGAAUUCGAGUUGCUGUCCAUUGUUGGAGUAUUGCGUUUACUGCUCUCUUUUUGCUUAUUUUCUAAGACCUUCUCUUCGAAGUUAUUUUUGAUUUUCUCGGCAACUUUUUUGAAAUGUUCUUCGUCUGAAAUAUACAAUUUUCUAAGGUUUUUGAUGGCAGACGCCCCUCUUUCGCCUCUGGUUUCGGCGCUUGCUGAUGUUUUGGGAUUGUUUUCUUGUAGCCAUACCAACAUCUUUGCGAUUUGUCGGAUCUCUUUGAUUUCUGAAUCUUGAAGUUCUUCCUUGGGUUUUAUGCCUUCAUUGGAUUCUACACCCUUUUUAUCUACAUUGCUUCCUUCGGAAUUUAUAUUAUUUUGACUAAAUUGUGCAGUUUCUUUAUUUUUCUCAGCUAAUUUUCUUCUCUUAGCCUCUUCCAAUAUGGCAGCAAUAAUAACUUUUCUUCGUUCUUUUUUCUUUAGGGACGCCUCACUGUCUUGAAGUUCUUCAGGUUUGGCUUCCAACUGAUUACUAUCUUCUAUUUUGUUCUCUAUUUUAUCUUCCAUUCUAUCUUCUACAGAAAGUUGUUGAAUUCUUUUUUCAAUUUUUAGCAGCUCAAUAUUUUGAUUGUGU